AAAGUUGCACACCUCUGCAGAGUGUAGAACCUAUUCGAAUAGCCGUGCUCACAGUAUUGUGCGAGUUAAGGUUUGGUCACAUAACUAGCACUUCUUCUAGGAUUGGUUGGGUUGGCGUGAGUGUUUUGGGAAAGGUGUCCGGCAAUUGUGCCGUGAGCUACUACGGAUGAGGAGUCCAGUAGCAUUAAAACUUGGAUCCUUGUGUAGGAUCAACCCCACUUAUUUUCCGGUUAGUAAAGAAUUGCUUUGAGAAAACUCUUUUCAAAAAUAAACCCUUGUAUGUGUAAAAUAUAGCUUUACUGCAAAUGAACCUCAGCCUCAUCCUUGAACUAUCCUGUGCAUAUCUGUGUUAUCCCCCUCCAUGGAUGGGGUUGGACUUGUUGAGUACUUUUGUACUCACCCAAUAUAUAUUUGUGGUUUUGCUUCAGAGGAAGAUCCAGACUUCGUGCCCGAAGACAUUGAGUAGGUGAUCGUCCUGGACCCAACCUUGCCUGUGGUUCGGAGUCUCCACAGGAAGCUUCUAACGGCGCAAGACUCUGAAGUUAUCUUAGAUUUCGUUGACAUUCUAGUUUGGCUUGUAGUACUUAUGUUGUCCCACGUGAUAGUGGUGCUUCAGUGCCCACUACCUUAAUAGUUUGUACGGUAAUAAACCAUCUGAUGUAAUAAAUAUGUUAUCAGCCUCCUGGGACUGAUAUUUGUAUCACAUUUAGUCUCUACUUCUGUGGGGACACUUCAGGUGGUAUCAGAGCCGUAGGUUGGCCGUAGGACGUGACCCUUAGGACCAAGGACCUUUUCUAAGCCAGUUUUCCACUAGAUCUUUCCCUGGUUAGCCAUCCUCCCACACAGCACUUACCUUUGGCCCUUGUCUGGUUCCAGAUGGCUGACGACGAAUGGAGUAGCGGAAUCUGCCCCGUAGAGCCUGGCCUCCCUAAGUUGUUGCUACUCAGCCUGGAACGCAUCGGAGUUGUGGACCCACCGGAGUACAUCUACCAGGAGUACGACUCCAGGGGCACCCUUCGGUGCGACAUGAUGAUCUUCGUGGGAGUAAGUAGCAAGUUCUGCAUAUUUGAGGUUGCUUUCUACCUAAGUACAUGGUAGGAGUAAGUAGCUCGAUAGCUGUGGGCAUAGUGCCCAGGCUUGGUUAGCUAUCUCAGGUUGUGUUCCACCCCACGGUAUUGUUGUGAUAGGUGACAAGUGGUGACAACCUUGUCUGUCCCUUGUAGUCCACCAUAUUCGGGUGUUUUCAUAGCAGUAGUUGCCGAGUGCCAUUGGACUCCCUUCUCACCCCAAUUUGAGUCCUUCUCUGAGGCCACCAAAGCAGAUCAAGUCAGUGAGUAGCAAGUUAUCUAGGUAAUUUAGUGCACUAUCUGGAGUUAGACCUUCUUACGUCUUCUUUCCUAGUGAGACCGAUUGAGUAGUUUUAGGCCUAGUCAAAGCUUACUGUUCCUUGGAUUCGAUAUCCAAGGUAUACUCCCAGGUGAAAGCUAUAAUGGGUCUCUGUGCGCUUGCAGAGUAAUUCGUUUAGGCUAAGGAGUGCCAACAAUAGCUGUCCUGGAUAGAGAGUUGGAUGAGGAGAUAUGUGGAUCAGCAUGAUGGAUUUGUAGUGAAGGGUCAAGAGAUCAAUGUAUGCAAAUUGGUGAAGUCUUUGUAUGGUCUGAAACAAAUGCCAAAGCAAUGGCAUGAGAAGUUUGACAGAACUUUAACUUCUGCGGGCUUUGUCAUAAAUGAGGCUGAAAGAUGUGUGUCCUAUCGCUAUGGUGGGGGUGUAGGAGUUAUAUUAUGCUUGUAUGUAGACAACAUACUAAUUUUUGGCAUGAACAUUGAUGCAAUCAAUGAGGUCAAGUCUUUUCUAUCAAAGAGUUUUGAUAUGGAAAAUUCGGGAGAAGCUGAUGUGAUUCUGAACAUCAAGUUGAAUAAGGGUGAGAAUGGGAUUACUCUUUCACAGUCUCGUUAUGUGGAGAAGAUCUUGAGCCGCUUUGGCUAUGUGGAUAACAAGCCUUCUCCAACUCUUUAUGAUCCCAGUGUGAUACUCUAAAAGAACAAGGAGAUUGCUAAAGAUCAUCUGAGAUACUCUUAGAUAAUUGGUUCACUCAUAUAUUUAGCUAGCGCAACGAGACCCGAUAUAUCCUUUGCUGUGAGCAAAUUGAGCAGGUUCAUGUCCAACCCGGGUACUGAUCAUUGGCAUGCACUUGAAAUUAUUAUGCGCUAUCUAGUUGGUACUAUGAGUUAUGGGAUUCACUAUUAUAGGCACCCUACUGUAGUUAAGGGAUAUAUUGAUUCGAACUGGAUUUCUGAUGCUGAUGAGAUUUAUGCCACUAGUGGGUAUGUGUUUACCCUUGGAGGUGGUGCGACAUCAUGGAGGUCUUGCAAACAGACCAUCUUGAUGACACCUCGCUCGCCUCGCCCGGGGAUAGGCGUGGGCGCACGAUGUCCGCGUGAAUGGUUCACCGAAAUCCGGCUCCUCAACUUGAUUUUUUAUUUUUUGGUUGCGUGGUCAAGAUAUGGAAGGUCUAAUCGGUUUCUGUUGACACCGUUUUUUGACACAUGUCAAGAAAAACAUUGAAGAGGAGGAUGGUUGCUGAUUUGGAAAGUGCCGGCGUGUACAGUGAGGAGAUCGGCCGAUAAUAUAUACCACUACCGAUGGACCAGAGAAUAUUCUAAAUUUGGUCGAAGAUUCUAAGGAUCUGGUUUUGAUUCGGUUUGUUUUAUUUAGGAAAUCUUUUUCUUUUUUGUCAAGAUAUGUGAUUCUCGUAAUCGGUUAGGACUUGUUGAUUUAGGCUAUAAAUAGCGGUUGUAUGGGACCUAAAAAAGUUGAUACACAUCCAAUAAACAAAGCUUUACAUUUCUCUCGCAAUUUACUUUCAUUGUCGGCGAUUUCGCUAUUUUCUUUUCUCCGAGUUCUUUCGAGCCGAUCAAGGACAUCUCACACUCGAGCGACUUGAUUUGCUGGUAAGUUUUUAUUUACCGAGUAAAUCUAAGCUUUAGCUAACUGGCGCAUCGUUGUUGCUUUGUUUAGAUUUGUUCAAAAGUUAUCAAAUUUUAUAUAGAUUUUGACUUCGGGCGUAUCGCUGUCGUCUCGUCUAGAUUGAUUCACAAUUUAUUGAUAUUUGCUAGAUUUAUAGGUUUUUUCCGAUUGUUUUAGCUUUUAUCGAAUUUAUCCGUCUUGCAAUACAUUCAAAUCGACUGUGAAAUCUUGCAAUAUUAUCAAAAUAUCAUUAAGCCGAUCUAGAUCUAUUUCAAACGUGUUUUUAUAGAGUAGCUUUAUUCAAAUUACACAUUCGUAACUUUUAUAUUGUUACACGUGUGCAAUCGGCUGUCCAGGCCGAUUGUCCUAUUCUGUGUCGGCUAGAUCUGCUGAUACACCUGUUCACUUCUAUACGCUAUCUUACGUUUACACCAAUUGCUUUAACUGUUUUUGUCGUUUUCUGCAUCAGCAAAACUUGCUGAUACGCUGUGUGAGGGUUAUUCGAAAAAUUAGCCGAUACACUCUCAGAUCUAACGUUUGCCAAUUUCUUGUCAAUUUACAAGUCAAAUUGAUUGGCACAUCUUGAUUCGAAAGGAAUUGCAGUUUGGGCUUGGCGAACGGUGCCCUCAGGCUUGGUAUGUAGAUUUUGCGUCAAUAGUUUCCUAAUCUGAUUACGGAUCCAAUCACGAUACGAGGUCUUGGGCGCUCCUAUAUAUACAACCUAUUGGUUUUCACCAAAAUCAAUCUAAUAUGAGUUAGGGUGCCUCUUCUCGCUGCUGCGUCGCCACCGUAGUCUUCUCCAUUCCGAGCGUCGUCGUGCACUGGCGAACGGGAGAGUCUCCGGAACCUCUCGCCUUUGGGAUUCUACACAGGGAGAAGGCGAAUAAGACUUUUGGGAAGUGCUCGGCGCAACUGCUCCUCCGUCCAAGUCUGGUGUUACUGCGUCAUCUACGACAUCGUCUACUGCACUCUGUUCGCAAGACCGUCUUCGUCCCGUCAGCGCCAUUCGUCUUCCCUAAGACCAAGACUCAGUUGUUCAUAGAUUCAUGGGUAUGCGUAUGCCAGGAACCACCUGACAUACCAUGUAGCUCCUCCACCAGCACCCGCAGCCCACUACUUCGAAGGCAUACACCCUUUGUGGUUCUGAGACGCAGGCGCCACGACGCUUCCAUAGUAUGUAAUUUGGCUUUAUAUUUAUUUUCUUUUAUUAUCAUUAAUUAUGAGUGUCAAUAUAUAUUGAUCGGUCACCAUGUUAUUUGUAUGUAUCUUGAGUAAUUAUUGCAUCAUAUAUUGGACUUGUAAUUGCUAAAGCAUCGCAUAUAUAAUUUUCUUGAA